rnacentral:rRNA from 1 species
GCUUUAAAAGUUUAAAUCUUUUUAAUAGCUCUUUUGCCGUUGUCCUGCCAUUAUUUAUUUUAUUUAUAAAAUAAUAAACAAUAAUGAAUAUAAGGCAGUACAUUUUUAAUUUCAUUAAUAUUAAUUUAAUUUAAUAAUUAUAAAGGGGACAAAAAAGAUAUCCCGGUUUAAGUAAAAAGAAUAAAAUGAAUUAGAGCUAGAAUCAAAUUGAGGAUAAACCAAAUAAUACUUAGAGUAGGGCCGAUAUCCGCAGAUACUAAGGGGAAUACUAAAGGUGAAAGC